CCUUACGAGUAGGGCUACACACGUGCUACAAUGGCGCAUACAAAGAGAAGCGACCUCGCGAGAGCAAGCGGACCUCACAAAGUGCGUCGUAGUCCGGAUCGGAGUCUGCAACUCGACUCCGUGAAGUCGGAAUCGCUAGUAAUCGUGGAUCAGAAUGCCACGGUGAAUACGUUCCCGGGCCUUGUACACACCGCCCGUCACACCAUGGGAGUGGGUUGCAAAAGAAGUAGGUAGCU
rnacentral:rRNA from 1 species